rnacentral:rRNA from 1 species
AACUGGGGAACUUGAUUGCACAAAAGGAGAGUGGAAUUCCACGUGUAGCGGUGAAAUGCGUAGAGAUGUGGAGGAACACCAAUGGCGAAGGCGACUCUCUGGUCUGUAACUGACGCUGAUGAGCGAAAGCGUGGGGAGCGAACAGGAUUAGAUACCCUGGUAGUCCACGCCGUAAACGAUGACUGCUAACUGUUAGGGGGUUUCCGCCCCGUAAUGCUGCCUCUAACGCGUUAUUCACUCCGCGUGGAGAGUACGGUCGCAAGACUGAAUCUCAGGGGAUGUGACGGAGGCCCGCACAAGCGGUGGAACGUGUGGUUUAUUUCUAAGCAACGCGAAGAACCUUACCAGGUCGUGACGUCCGCUGAGAAUCCUAGAUAUAGGACGUCCCCUUCGAGGGCAGAGUGACAGGUGGUGCAUGGUUGUCGUCAGCUCGUGUCGUGAGAUGUUGGGUUAAGUCCCGCAACGAGCGCAACCCUUGAUCUUAGUUGCCACCAUUCAGUUGUGCACUCUAACGUGACUGCCGGUGACAAACC